GGAUGAUGCCUGCUGCUUAAUUUGACUCAACACGGGGAAACUCACCAGGUCCAGACAAAAUAAGGAUUGACAGAUUGAGAGCUCUUUCUUGAUCUUUUGGAUGGUGGUGCAUGGCCGUUCUUAGUUGGUGGAGUGAUUUGUCUGCUUAAUUGCGAUAACGAACGAGACCUCGGCCCUUAAAUAGCCCGGUCCGCAUCUGCGGGCCGGUUUCUAAGAAAAGACUGCAUGCAAGCUUCCCGAGGCAUGUCCGAUACCUCAGGCUACUUUCACGGGUUCCACCACUACACUAUGUACCACACUUCAUACAUCCACCUACAUUGGAAAUGAAUCC
rnacentral:ncRNA from 1 species